UGCGCACCUGCCGCACCAUCACCGGCACCGGGAGCAGCAGCGACGCUAAGUGACACUUCCCAAGCAUUGUGUAACCGACUGGAUUCUCACGGCCGCCCUGUGUAGAAAGUGCCGCGAGUAUCACCUCUAAAAUCAGGAACGUGGAGAUCCCGAGUGAUAGGCGACUCCUUGAAGGGCAGAUCAAUUUGUAGGCCGAACUGAAGUUGGGAGCCAAGGAUUUGCAAAGCCUGAGGGUUCCUGGACACCACACCCUCUUUAGUUUCCGAGGGUCUGGCUAGGUUGCUGAGGCUGGCCUGGAAGCUGGGAUCCUCCUGCCUCAGCCUUGAGUUACUGGGAUUACAGGUGUGCGCCACCGCGUCCUGCUGAGUAGCAAUCUUCAAUGAAGUGUUGGGUGGAGGUCCGCAAAGUCCUCCCUAGAAAGUGCUGGGGAUGGAACCCAAGGCCUCCCGCACGCCAGCUCUGCUCCCGCCCUACGUCCCCAGCCCUGGAAUUUCUUAUGGACCCCACUCUGCAUUUGUCUGGCAGCUGGCUGUCCCCUGCCCUCAGUCAAGUACCGUCACCUACAGUUUGCAGAUGAGGAAACUGAGGGAGCUGAGCUGGGGCCAGGACCGCUGGGGGUCUGAUUCCCAGGACCAGGGUACCAGGGUGCAGGACCCAGGCUGGGAGGAAGGGGCUCCUCUUCUCCAACCCUCCCUCCUUCCCUGGGAAAAUCCAACAGGUGGUGGGGCCGCAGGCACUGGGCCAUUGUGCAGGCCGAGGGUCAGGAGGGCCCAGUGUGUGUCUGGGAGAAGAUGGAUGCUUUCAUUACCAUGUGAAUCCUG